rnacentral:RNase_P_RNA from 1 species
UCCGUCGUGGUAAGGGUGAAAGGGUGGGGUAAGAGCCCACCGCGCGACUGGCAACAGGAGCGGCACGGUAAACCCCACCGGGAGCAAGACCGAAUAGGGGCGGUGCGAGGGGAAACCCUCGAGGGCUGUUUCCGGCUCACCGUCCGGGUAGGUUGCGUGAGGUGCAUGGCAACAUGCGCCCAAGAUGAAUGGCCGCCACGUUCUCGCGCCGCAAGGGGCGAGGCCAUACAGAACCCGGCUUACAGGCCAGCUGGCAAU